rnacentral:rRNA from 1 species
AGUGAACGCUGGCGGUAGGCCUAACACAUGCAAGUCGAACGGCAGCACAGUAAGAGCUUGCUCUUACGGGUGGCGAGUGGCGGACGGGUGAGGAAUACAUCGGAAUCUACUUUUUCGUGGGGGAUAACGUAGGGAAACUUACGCUAAUACCGCAUACGACCUACGGGUGAAAGCAGGGGAUCUUCGGACCUUGCGCGAUUGAAUGAGCCGAUGUCGGAUUAGCUAGUUGGCGGGGUAAAGGCCCACCAAGGCGACGAUCCGUAGCUGGUCUGAGAGGUGAUCAGCCACACUGGAACUGAGACACGGUCCAGACUCCUACGGGAGGCAGCAGUGGGGAAUAUUGGACAAAGGGCGCAAGCCUGAUCCAGCCAUACCGCGUGGGUGAAGAAGGCCUUCGGGUUGUAAAGCCCUUUUGUUGGGAAAGAAAAGCAGCAGGUUAAUACCCCGCUGUUCUGACGGUACCCAAAGAAUAAGCACCGGCUAACUUCGUG